ACGAACGCUGGCGGCGUGCCUAAUACAUGCAAGUUGAGCGCUGAAGGUUGGUACUUGUACCAACUGGAUGAGCAGCGAACGGGUGAGUAACGCGUGGGGAAUCUGCCCUUGAGCGGGGGACAACAUUUGGAAACGAAUGCUAAUACCGCAUAAAAACUUUAAACACAAGUUUUAAGUUUGAAAGAUGCAAUUGCAUCACUCAAAGAUGAUCCCGCGUUGUAUUAGCUAGUUGGUGAGGUAAAGGCUCACCAAGGCGAUGAUACAUAGCCGACCUGAGAGGGUGAUCGGCCACAUUGGGACUGAGACACGGCCCAAACUCCUACGGGAGGCAGCAGUAGGGAAUCUUCGGCAAUGGACGAAAGUCUGACCGAGCAACGCCGCGGGAGGGAAGAAGGGUUUCGGAUCGUAAAACUCUGUUGGUAGAGAAGAACGUUGGUGAGAGUGGAAAGCUCAUCAAGUGACGGUAACUACCCAGAAAGGGACGGCUAACUACGUG
rnacentral:rRNA from 1 species